CCCCGGUUCACCCUCCCGUUGGAUCUUUCUGUUUUCAGCCGGAAUCUCAUUAUCGCCGAUAGGUCCCCGCCCUUUCUCUAACAACUUUUUUAAAAAAAUGAAUAAAUAAAUAAAAAUAUAUGGCAUUUUAACCUUGAGCAAAUUACGGCUGGUCCUAUAAAAUAGCUCAACUUUCGGUAUAUGCCUCAAAUCUCUGCUUCAUUUUUUCUGUCUUUUUACUCUCUUAUCUAUCAAAAGAGCUAUUCUUCACUCCUCUUUGCGUUCUUUUCCCUUUUCCUUUUUCUUUUCCGUUUCCCUUUCUUUCUUUUAAGAAUUUUCUUUUUCUUUAUGUUUCCUGGAGAAAGUACUGUAUAUCAUCAGAAAGCAAUUUGUGUUCUUAGUUUCUUUUAGGGUUUGGUUUUGAAAGUUACCCAAAAUAGCAAGUCUGUGCUCUGUCAAGUGACUAAGAAAAGGCACUGUCUAGUGGUUUUUUUUUGCUCGCGGCAUCUUCCCUUUUUCUUUUAUCCUCUGCAACUUUUACCUACAGUUUUCUUUCUUUUCUUCUUUUUCUUCGCUCCGUUCUCCCACUACUGGUUUUUGCCAUCGGGGUGCUUUCCGUACUGCUUGUUUAAGCGCACUAUCGUUUUUUUGGGGAUAACUUUCCUUGAAAUUUCUCGUGCUCUUAAGUACUUUUUGAGUAAAACUUUUAACAGAUUAAUGGUGGGCUUCUCUUCAUUUCCAGCUUCUCAUUAACGUGUUCAUUGUUCAGCUUUCCUUUUUAGCCCUUUAUUCUCCUGGUGUCAAGUCUCAAAGGAAUCCCUUCUUUUCCCUCCGCUUUUAUUUGACUCCCCUUCCCACUCUCUCUCAAUGAGACCAAGUAAUAGAAGUUGAAAACCUGCAUAUAC
rnacentral:lncRNA from 1 species